rnacentral:rRNA from 1 species
AGUGAACGCUGGCGGUAGGCCUAACACAUGCAAGUCGAACGGCAGCACAGUAAGAGCUUGCUCUUACGGGUGGCGAGUGGCGGACGGGUGAGGAAUACAUCGGAAUCUACUUUUUCGUGGGGGAUAACGUAGGGAAACUUACGCUAAUACCGCAUACGACCUACGGGUGAAAGCAGGGGAUCUUCGGACCUUGCGCGAUUGAAUGAGCCGAUGUCGGAUUAGCUAGUUGGCGGGGUAAAGGCCCACCAAGGCGACGAUCCGUAGCUGGUCUGAGAGGAUGAUCAGCCACACUGGAACUGAGACACGGUCCAGACUCCUACGGGAGGCAGCAGUGGGGAAUAUUGGACAAUGGGCGCAAGCCUGAUCCAGCCAUACCGCGUGGGGGAAGAAGGCCUUCGGGUUGUAAAGCCCUUUUGGUGGGAAAGAAAAGCAGCAGGUUAAAACCCCGCUGUUCUGACGGUACCCAAAGAAUAAGCACCGGCUAACUUCGUG